GGGGGCGUUAUGGAUUCGACAGGCAUAAUUGAGCUUGAAUUGCGCUUCGUAGGUUACGUCUACGUAAAAACGUUACAGUUAAAUAUAACUGCUAAAAACGAAAACAAUACUUUCGCUUUAGCUGCCUAAAAACAGCAAGUGAAGAUCCUCUCGGCAUCGCCCAUGUGCUCGAGUAAGGGUCCUAAAUGAAGUGGGAUACAUUAAACUUUUCCGUCUGUAAAGUUUAAAAGAGAUUAUCAGACUAGCAACAUCUAAGGCCUGUUGUGCGGCAUAGGGUGAAGCGAAAUUUAAGUAGUACAACUAUAAGCGUAGAGGUUUAAGUGGCAAUGUGUUUGGACGCGGGUUCAAAUCCCGCCGCUUCCAUUA
rfam:Enterococcus sp. 6C8_DIV0013 scaffold00003, whole genome shotgun sequence.